rnacentral:lncRNA from 1 species
AAUCUGCUGCCAUUAAUCAAAUAAUACAAUAUUAAUAAAAUAACUAUAAUCCUUCAUUGAAAAUGAUUAUUUCUACAGCAGAGAGAUUGAAUCUCUUCUCGUGUUGCAUUGUUAACACUAGCAGUAAAUACAGCAGCAGCUCUGUGUCAGUUGUCGUUCAUGCCGUCAUGUAAUGAGGAUGUGUUGUUGUGUUGCAGAGAACGAUCCAGCUGUGGUUUACUCUGCAGUGAGACGAGCAGAAGACGUCAGUUAUGGACAAGUUGUCCUCAAAGACAAGAAGACAAAGAGGACCAGAGAGAAUGAUCCAGCUGUGGUUUACUCUGCAGUGAGACCAGCAGAAGACGUCAGUUAUGGACAAGUCGUCUUCAAAGACAAGAAGACAAAGAGGACCAGAGGGUUGAAGUCGGAGCCGGAGGUCCUCUACUCGUCACUGAAGUAGACCUUCACACCAGACCAACUAGUGGUGACCAGCCGGCCUGUGAUUGGUCCUCAGAGACCGUCAUACCUCAGCACUGUCACCUGCUUCACUGCUUAUUUGAUAUGUUGAAGCUAAAUGAGACUUUUGCAGCUACAGAGAGACAGACAGGUCAGAUGUAGAGCAUGUUUUUAGAGUUUUAAUGUGUUUUUAAGUGAUAUAAAAUAUUAAAGUAGA